GAUGAACGCUAGCUACAGGCUUAACACAUGCAAGUCGAGGGGCAGCAUGAACAAAGCUUGCUUUGUUUGAUGGCGACCGGCGCACGGGUGCGUAACACGUAUCCAAUCUGCCCGCGGCUCGGGGAUAGCCCAUCGAAAGAUGGAUUAAUACCCGAUGGCGUGGUCACUCCGCAUGGGGUUUCCACUAAAGGUUUUCCGGCCGCGGAUGAGGAUGCGUAUGAUUAGGUAGUAGGCGGGGUAACGGCCCACCUAGCCUUCGAUCAUUAGGGGCUCUGAGGAGAAGGUCCCCCACACUGGAACUGAGACACGGUCCAGACUCCUACGAGAGGCAGCAGUGAGGAAUAUUGGUCAAUGGGCGAGAGCCUGAACCAGCCAAGUAGCGUGAAGGAAGACUGCCCUAUGGGUUGUAAACUUCUUUUGUUCGGGAAUAAAGUGCAGUAUGUAUACUGUUUUGUAUGUACCGUUCGAAUAAGCAUCGGCUAAUUCCGUGCCAGCAGCCGCGGUAAGAC
rnacentral:rRNA from 1 species